CUACCAAGGCGAUGAUGGGUAGCUGGUCUGAGAGGACGAUCAGCCACACUGGGACUGAGACACGGCCCAGACUCCUACGGGAGGCAGCAGUUAGGAAUUUUCCGCAAUGGGCGAAAGCCUGACGGAGCAACGCCGCGUGGGUGAUGAAGACCCUCGGGUUGUAAAGCCCUGUCGGAGGGAACGAAGAUCUGACGGUACCCUCCAAGAAAGCCCCGGCUAACUACGUGC
rnacentral:rRNA from 1 species